ACAGAUGGAUUUCUAUUUAAAAACAAAAUAAUUUCCAUAAAUGACACAAAGAAGGUAAACAGAAGAGUUUUCACAAGAAUUCAUGCAAUGUGACUAUUGUUCCCAAGACAGCAAUGAAUAUGCAUAGCUGAAUUUUUUUUCCCUUUGAAACAACUGACAAGAUCAAACUAUCAGUGAGAACAGGUUGCUCUUUGUACAAACAUACCUGACGGAUCACUGCACAAAUCAGUGGCAUCAUUUUGUCUUACAUAAAGAGCAGGCACAGAGUGGCUGCACGUUCCAACCAGCACAUUUAGGUUUGAAACUAAUCAAAGUAUGUGGGUUGAGGACAGAAAAUACUCUUGAAACAUGAAAAAUAGAAGCAGGAGUAGGCCAUUCGUCCCUUCUUGUCUGCUUCUUCAUCCGAUUGACAACUUUGCUCUCAGCUGCCACUAUACAAAGUAAUAAAGCUAUUCCUCUGACCCUAUGCUAAUGCUGAGACCAUUGAUUCUGGGUAAAGCAGACACUGCAUUAAGCCCCUGAACUGGUGUGGAUAUCUUCAAUAACCACUGCACUGAAAUGGUUCUACCAUCGACAGACUCACUUUCAAGGAAUCUUUACAACUUGUUCUCAGUAUUUUUUUUAAACUUUGCAAUUUGUUUUCAUUUGCGCAUCUCUGUACUUAGAUAAUAAAUUUAGUUUGAACUUUGAACACUGAAUGUGGAACAGUAAACAAAAGAUUAGCCAGAAUAUUUAGUUCCUUGAUGAUAUUGUAUUACUUCUCAUUAUUACAUUUUUACUCUAAAUAUUUAUGUAAUUUAUGGUAAACUUUAUGCCUUUGCACAGUACAGUACACAAAACAAAAAAAAAAUCAGUGAUAAUAAAUCUGAUUUAGGACAGUGGGAGGUUAGGCAGCAAUCAAGUCAUUGAUCCAUGGAUUGGAAGGAAUGCCCAGAAGAUGGCAGCAGUAGUAUGAGCAAAAAUGCCUGUGCAAACAGAUUAUCCUUUCAGCACAUCCUUCAAGGAUAUCGGAAAACGUUGUGGAAUAGAUUUGUACGUAAACCAUCAGAAAAAGGACUGAGAUUGAUCCACUCAGUCUCUCAAAUGUUCAGCCAGACAUUGAACUACCUUGAGUGACAAGGGAUAGACAUGAAACGGAUCAUUUGGCCCAUUCACCUUCAUCUUUCAGUAUGGCUGUCUACUUUGCUUGUCUAACUACCCUUGAAAUAUAUCUAUACAUUCUUUUAUUAUUAUUAUGGGAGUAGGCUCUAUAUUCCCCACUAUUGGGGAAUAUGGUCAUCCAUACUCAUCACUGAUUUCUUUGUGUUUGCACUUCUAGGUAUUUCUUCCUCAAUGAGAAGCAUCCUCUUUCCCAUACUUUCUGAAAACCUUUCAGAGUUUCAAGGCCUGUUAUUUCAACCCCCAGCUUUUUAUUCUCAGGAAACCAAUGAGUGAUCUUUCACUUCAUCCACUCUAACCGUGCAUAGCAGAGGUCUGUUUCAAUAAAGCAAGAUAUUUGACUGGAGUAAAAUGAGGCAGAUAGCUUGUGUGCUGAUGGUCAGAAUUUAAAGAAGGACAUUUGGCUGGACACAGGGAGCCUCGUUGAAACAAGAAGCCUUAUGUGGAGACCUAAAAUGAGGAAAGUUCUUUGUCUCCUCAGAAAAUAUAUUUUAUGGCUGCGUAUAACAAACUUUUGUGUUAGUCUCUGAAUACAAUGAUAUUUCAGAUUAAAUUGAAUAUAAGAGUAUAUUAAAGAAUGUACUAUUACUGGAUGUAAUAGUUUGCCUUUGUGUUAUGUUAAUUAAUUCCUUUUGCAAUGUAGUGCUCAGUGAUUAUGUGAAUAAAGAUGGAUUUGAGUUUUUCUUA